UACGUAGGGGGCUAGCGUUGUCCGGAAUCAUUGGGCGUAAAGCGCGUGUAGGCGGUUCGGUAAGUCUGCUGUGAAAGUCGGGGGCUCAACCCUCGAAAGCCGGUGGAUACUGUCGGACUAGAGUGCGGAAGAGGCGAGUGGAAUUCCUGGUGUAGCGGUGAAAUGCGCAGAUAUCAGGAGGAACACCAAUUGCGAAGGCAGCUCGCUGGG
rnacentral:rRNA from 1 species